UAUUUACAUUUCCUUUUUUUUCUUAUUCUUAUUCUUGCAAUAUAUCCGAGAUGAAAAAUGUUCUCUUACUUGCACAUAAAAAACUAUAAAUCGUAAUUUCUUCUUUAAAUAAAAUGCUCCGCAGGGCGCAGCUUGAUACGACCGGAGAGGUCGAACCCUGAACAGUUGGGGCAAGUAUGGACACAACAUUCAAGCUUGAUACAGCUCUGAAUUUGGAUUGUGAUUAAAUAUUUGACACAGCAUAGGUUUCUGACACAGAAUGAAUGUGGUCUAAGAACUUAAAAAUUUUAAAUUGGACAUUCACCUAUUAUGGUUCAAUAUCCAAAAUCUAAAUACAUGGUUAGAUUCAGCAUAUCAAAGAACCCCAUAUAUUCAAUUUUUGUUGAAAUCAAACAAAGUUUAAUUUUGGACCCCGAUUUGGACCAACUUGAAAACUGGGCCCAUAAUCAAAAAUCUAAACACAUGUUUAGAUUCAGCAUAUCAAAGAACCCUAAAAAUUCAAUUUUUGUUAAAAUCAAACUAAGUUUAAUUUUGGACCCUUUGGACCUUCAUGUAGACCAAUUUGAAAACAGAACCAAAAAUUCAGAAUCUAAAUACACGGUUAGAUUCGGCAUAUCAAAGAACCCCAAUAAUUCAAUUUUUGAUGAAAUCAAACAAAGUUUAAUUUUGGACCCUUUGGACCUCAAUGUGGACCAAUUUAAAAACGGGGCCCAAAAUCCAAAAACUUAAUACACGGUUAGAUUCAGCAUAUGAAAGAACCCCAUAUAUUCAAUUUUUGUUGAAAUCAAACAAAGUUUAAUUUUGGACCCCGAUUUGGACCAACUUGAAAACUGGGCCCAUAAUCAAAAAUCUAAAUACAUGGUUAGAUUCAGCAUAUCAAAGAACCCCAUAUAUUCAAUUUUUGUUGAAAUCAAACUAAGUUUAAUUUUGGACCCUUUGGACCUUUAUGUAGACCAAUUUGAAAACGGAACCAAAAAUUCAGAAUCUAAAUACACGGUUAGAUUCGGCAUAUCAAAGAACCCCAAUAAUUCAAUUUUUGAUGAAAUCAAACAAAGUUUAAUUUUGGACCCUUUGGACCUCAAUGAGGACCAAUUUAAAAAUGGGGCCCAAAAUCCAAAAACUUAAUACACGGUUAGAUUCAGCAUAUGAAAGAACCCCAUAUAUUCAAUUUUUGUUGAAAUCAAACAAAGUUUAAUUUUGGACCCCGAUUUGGACCAACUUGAAAACUGGGCCCAUAAUCAAAAAUCUAAAUACAUGGUUAGAUUCAGCAUAUCAAAGAACCCCAUAUAUUCAAUUUUUGUUGAAAUCAAAUAAAGUUUAAUUUUGGACCCCGAUUUGGACCAACUUGAAAACUGGGCCCAUAAUCAAAAAUCUAAAUACAUGGUUAGAUUCAGCAUAUCAAAGAACCCCAUAUAUUCAAUUUUUGUUGAAAUCAAACUAAGUUUAAUUUUGGACCCUUUGGACCUUUAUGUAGACCAAUUUGAAAACGGAACCAAAAAUUAAGAAUCUAAAUACACGGUUAGAUUCGGCAUAUCAAAGAACCCCAAUAAUUCAAUUUUUGAUGAAAUCAAACAAAGUUAAAUUUUGGACCCUUUGGACCUCAAUGUGGACCAAUUUAAAAACGGGGCCCAAAAUCCAAAAACUUAAUACAUGGUCAGAUUCAGCAUAUUAAAGAACCCCAAGAAUUCAAGAAUAAAACCCCAUUGAAAUUGAUCAAGAAAUAAGCAAUUUAUACGAAGUAUAUUCUUUUGCACAAUACUGUGCAAUUGAAUAUUUCUUGCUAUUGCGCAAUACUGUACAAUUGACAAUUUCUUGCUAUUGCGCAAUAUUGUGCUUUUGGAUAUUUCUUGCUAUUGCGCAAUACUGUGCAAUUGAAGAUUUCUUGCUAUUGUGCAAUACUGUGCAAUUGAAGAUUUCUUGCUAUUGUGCAAUACUGUGCAAUUGAAAAUUUCUUGCUAUUGCACAAUACUUAUUGUAUAAUAAUUUACACAUCCUGUUUGGUGUGUAUCUCCUUCCAUAUCAUUAUUAUUUGCUUUUAAAUAUAAAUCAGAAAUAACCAACUUAAAAUGGAAAAUUUUAAAAGAAAAAAAAAAGGAAAAAAAGAAAAAAAUAGAAACCCCCCCCCCCCCAAA